AUUGAACGCUGGCGGCAUGCUUUACACAUGCAAGUCGAACGGCAGCGCGGGCUUCGGCCUGGCGGCGAGUGGCGAACGGGUGAGUAAUACAUCGGAACGUGCCCAGUAGUGGGGGAUAGCUCGGCGACAGCCGGAUUAAUACCGCAUACGACCUGAGGGUGAAAGCGGGGGAUCUUCGGACCUCGCGCUAUUGGAGCGGCCGAUGGCAGAUUAGCUAGUUGGUGGGGUAACGGCCUACCAAGGCGACGAUCUGUAGCUGGUCUGAGAGGACGACCAGCCACACUGGGACUGAGACACGGCCCAGACUCCUACGGGAGGCAGCAGUGGGGAAUUUUGGACAAUGGGCGAAAGCCUGAUCCAGCAAUGCCGCGUGUGUGAUGAAGGCCUUCGGGUUGUAAAGCACUUUUGGCGGGAACGAAAAGGACUGUGCCAAUACCACGGUUCGAUGACGGUACCCGCAGAAUAAGCACCGGCUAACUACGUG
rnacentral:rRNA from 1 species